rnacentral:rRNA from 1 species
AACGAACGCUGGCGGCAUGCCUAACACAUGCAAGUCGAACGAGACCUUCGGGUCUAGUGGCGCACGGGUGCGUAACGCGUGGGAACCUGCCUUUAGGUUCGGAAUAACUCAGAGAAAUUUGAGCUAAUACCGGAUGAUGUCUUCGGACCAAAGAUUUAUCGCCUUUAGAUGGGCCCGCGUUGGAUUAGCUAGUUGGUGGGGUAAAGGCCUACCAAGGCGACGAUCCAUAGCUGGUCUGAGAGGAUGAUCAGCCACACUGGGACUGAGACACGGCCCAGACUCCUACGGGAGGCAGCAGUGGGGAAUAUUGGGCAAUGGGAGAAAGCCUGAUCCAGCAAUGCCGCGUGAGUGAUGAAGGCCUUAGGGUUGUAAAGCUCUUUUACCCGAGAUGAUAAUGGCAGUAUCGGGAGAAUAAGCUCCGGCUAACUCCGUG